AUGCGUCUUCGAUUGUUGCGUGCUCCAUAUGAGCACGUUUUUUGGGAAUUCCUUUUUGUAGCAAACCAAUCAGUCGGAAAUGACGCCGGAAAUGCAGCGGCCUCCAGAUCCACCGCCGCCGGUACUGGUGACCGCGGUUCUACCGCCGGCGGCGCUGGCAAUUCAGGGGGGGCCGGUUCCAUCGUCGCCGGUCCUGGAGACCGUGGUUCCGCCGCCGCCGCGCUGGCAGUUCGGAGGGGGCCGGCCGGAUCGGAGGAUGAUGCGGUGAUUCAGGCUUCUCUCUUGGUCCCUAUCAGAUGGAGGAUCCAAUUCAGCGAUGACCACAAGAUUGGAUCGGGUAGAGAUGGGUUCCUUUACUACCAUGCGGCAUCUAGAUGGACGACAGUUCGAGAUCGAGAUCAUGACAUUCUCGCGGGACGCUAUCUGGAUGUGGAUGAACAGAUCCAAGCAGGUGCGUGUUUUGCUAUUGAUGAUUUUCAAAUUGUCGUUCGCGAGUGUGUGCAGGAGAGUUCGCCUGUGGAGGAGUCGAUUGAAUUAGUCGAUCUCGCGUCGGACUCCGAGAAUGCAGCACCUAAGCCAAACAUCGGAGGACGAUUUUGGGUGCUUGCGGAUGAUACCGAUGCGGACGAAGAAGGUGAGGGCGGAUGCAUUUUGUCUGACAAGACCGAGCCCAACGCGAUCAUUUCGGGCAUGGUACGGGAUCUGUCUAAGGGUCUACAGGUCAAGAAGGCUCUCGAUCAGAAAACGGAGGGACACGGUAAAUCCUCGUCGACGAAGAUCAAGCCGUGGAAAGGACCUAUUCCCAAGGUUAUUUUCCGAGCCACGGCCGUGAUCCGUUCAUGGUCGCUACUCACUCCGAUGGAGGCCAGGGAGCAUUUGGUUACUGGAUCUAUCCGCUGGGAGAUGGUAGCUCGGGAUAUCUUCAACCGGUUUGGAUGGCGGUCAUGUAAUAGGAUAGGCAAUUAG
rnacentral:rRNA from 1 species